CAGACAGAACGAAAUGCACGACGUCAGUGAAAAACGAAAACAGAUUGUGAGUCAGCAGUUUGUAAAUGCCUUUGAGGCCGAAGAAAUAGUUAAUACAUUAUCACGAAUAAUUCAGUGGAUUAGAUAGAUUAUCAUACAGAAAAAACCGCAGUAGGAUUUGAGAAAUUUACCACGCAGUAAGUGGUGACCAGAAUUGUGAAUUAAGAACAGUUUUUCUACGGUGGAACAGUUAGGGACAGAAGCUAACGAAUAAUCCGAACAACAACACUGAAAAUGUAAGUUGAUAUUGUAUACUGUGACUGUUAUAUUACUAAUAAUGAAUUUAAUAUACUACAGCUUUGAAGCUGCUAAUUUGGCAACUACAAAACGGUGUUUGUUCUGACGAUCGG